rnacentral:rRNA from 1 species
GCCCAAGUUUGAUCCUGGCUCAGAACGAACGCUGGCGGCAGGCCUAACACAUGCAAGUCGAGCGAGGACUUCGGUCCUAGCGGCGGACGGGUGAGUAACGCGUGGGAACGUGCCCUUUGGUUCGGAAUAGCCUCGGGAAACUGGGAGUAAUACCGGAUGCGCCCUUCGGGGGAAAGAUUUAUCGCCAAAGGAUCGGCCCGCGUUGGAUUAGGUAGUUGGUGGGGUAAUGGCCUACCAAGCCGACGAUCCAUAGCUGGUUUGAGAGGAUGAUCAGCCACACUGGGACUGAGACACGGCCCAGACUCCUACGGGAGGCAGCAGUGGGGAAUCUUGGACAAUGGGGGCAACCCUGAUCCAGCCAUGCCGCGUGAGCGAUGA